CCGUCCGAGGGGCGCUGCAGCAGAUGGAGAACCGUUUCGAACCUGGCGAAGGUCGAAUCCGGUUCUCGCCUGUCAGGCUCGGAUGGGGCGUUUCCUCGAACGCAUCAACGGCGCCCAUUCGCA
rnacentral:ncRNA from 2 species